AUACUCGGUAAUGAUGUAACUUCAAUUGAAUUUGUCAUAUUGUUAAGCAGAUAUUGUAACACUGAAUUUAAUUCAAAAUAUGCUCUUAUAAAAAGUUCCCCUCACAGUUUUACAAUGCAAUGGAAAUAUCCCAUUCCAUGAAAACUUUGACUUCAUCCCACUCGAUGCACUUUUGAAUUGCGCUCUUUCAUUUUAUAAUCGACUUACACAAAGGGAAAAACUAAUGAGCCCGGCAAGAGAAGUGACCCUGAACAGAACAAGGAAAAUACUCUUAUCACAUGGAACGCCGAACUCAUCUCUGCAACUCAUUAGUCAUUACGCAUGCAUGCCGGAGUACAGCAAGUCUUUGAUUUAACACCUAAACUGAGCCCGAACAAAGGCGUCAUUAAUUAGGAAUGCUAAGAUGAUGAAAACUAAUCUGCUAAAAGCUUGCGCUCUCCCCUCUUCUCUCUCAUUUCUCCUGGAGGCUCAUUUGUCUGCAAGGAUCAACAUAGUGCUGAGCUCUUUCUCUCUGUGGAGGACAAGGAAAAACAGCAGGAGAGGGUGUGACGUUGUUUGGCACCGGCUCACAUGCGCUUAAUGAACUCUGAAGCUGCUACCAGUUACAACAAUGUUGCACAGAUUUGAAAACACACUACAGCACAGCACAACAUAGCAGAAAAAGAACAGUAGAACAGAACAGAACUGAACUG